UUUAAUUUGGAUUCAUGGUGCUUACUUAAAUUAUAACACUGAAACCAAACAAUCAAAACAAACGAAAACAACCUGGCUUUUUGGUAUUAAUAAAAUAUUUGAACAAAAAUUACAUUGUCAACACAUUAUUAGUGUGCAUUUAUUUCAACAUAUCAUGCACGUUUUAUUUAUUACAAACCUAGGACCUCAUUGGCCUUCACUUUUGGCAGAGAGCCAGAGAUAUAUACAAUUACAUACUCCAACAGUCCAUCAUAAGACAUACAAACACACACACACACACACACACACACACACAUAUAUAUAUAUAUAUAUAUAUAUAUAUAUAUAUAUAUAUAUAUAUAUAUAUAUAGGGACAAGANN
rnacentral:lncRNA from 1 species